UACGUAGGUGGCGAGCGUUGUCCGGAUUUACUGGGCGUAAAGGGAGCGUAGGCGGACUUUUAAGUGAGAUGUGAAAUACCCGGGCUCAACUUGGGUGCUGCAUUUCAAACUGGAAGUCUAGAGUGCAGGAGAGGAGAAUGGAAUUCCUAGUGUAGCGGUGAAAUGCGUAGAGAUUAGGAAGAACACCAGUGGCGAAGGCGAUUCUCUGGACUGUAACUGACGCUGGGGCGUCGAAAGACGUGGGGAGGCAAACAGGAUUAGAUACCCCGUA
rnacentral:rRNA from 1 species